rnacentral:rRNA from 1 species
UACGGAGGAUGCAAGCGUUAUCCGGAAUCAUUGGGCGUAAAGAGUCCGUAGGCGGAACUUCAAGUCUGCUGUCAAAGACCGAAGCUUAACUUCGGAAAGGCGGUGGAAACGGAAGAACUAGAGUACAGAAGGGGUAGAGGGAAUUCCCAGUGUAGCGGUGAAAUGCGUAGAGAUUGGGAAGAACACCAGUGGCGAAGGCGCUCUACUGGGCUUGUACUGACGCUGAGGGACGAAAGCUAGGGGAGCGAAAGGG